UACGAAGGGGGCUAGCGUUGCUCGGAAUCACUGGGCGUAAAGGGUGCGUAGGCGGGUCUUUAAGUCAGGGAUGAAAUCCUGGAGCUCAACUCCAGAACUGCCUUUGAUACUGAAGAUCUUGAGUUCGGGAGAGGUGAGUGGAACUGCGAGUGUAGAGGUGAAAUUCGUAGAUAUUCGCAAGAACACCAGUGGCGAAGGCGGCUCACUGGCCCGAAACUGACGCUGAGGCACGAAAGCGUGGGGAGCAAACAGG
rnacentral:rRNA from 1 species